CCUACGGGAGGCAGCAGUGAGGAAUAUUGGUCAAUGGACUGAAGUCUGAACCAGCCAUGCCGCGUGCAGGAAGACGGCUCUAUGAGUUGUAAACUGCUUUUGUACAAGGGUAAACCUGAAUACGUGUAUUCUGCUGAAAGUACUGUACGAAUAAGGAUCGGCUAACUCCGUGCCAGCAGCCGCGGGAAUACGGAGGAUCCAAGCGUUAUCCGGAUUUAUUGGGUUUAAAGGGUGCGUAGGCGGAUUGAUAAGUUAGAGGUUAAAUGUCCGAGCUUAACUCGGGAACUGCCUCUAAUACUGUUGAUCUAGAGAGUAGAUGCGGUAGGCGGAAUGUAUGGUGUAGCGGUGAAAUGCUUAGAGAUCAUACAGAACACCGAUUGCGAAGGCAGCUUACCAAUCUAUAUCUGACGUUGAGGCACGAAAGCGUGGGGAGCAAACAGGAUUAGAUACCCCUGUAGUC
rnacentral:rRNA from 1 species